UUUCGUCGGGAGUGUAGUGUACUCUCGAGGCUUUUACGGAUAACGGGGUUUGAAGGAACGACUCCGGAGAGAGAGCACGAUAUUCGGCUCUCACAUCUAAGGAAGGCAGCAGUGGCGCAAAUUACCCCAUGAACUCACGUUCGAGGUAGCGACGGUCAAUAACUCUGAGAUUGGGCCUUGCCUAGUCUCGGUUUGGAAUGGAUGGGCUUUAAAACCGCCCAUGAGGAUCAAUUGGAGGGCAAGUCUGGUGCCAGCAGCCGCGGUAAUUCCAGCUCCAAGAGCGAGCACCAUUUCUGCUGCAGUUAAAAAGCUCGUAGUUGAACCUUUGGGUUGCGUUUGUUAGCGUUGGUUUUAAUUAAUCAGCGAUCUAUUCGGACCGGCUCUUUCGUGGGAUCCGCUGGUCUGUGCGUUCGUUCGUACUUUUCGGCCCCCACCGUUUACUGUGAGGAAAUCUACGCGCUCAACGCCUUUUUUUGAAAGAAAAGUUCAGCACGGAAUGAUAAGAUACGAUAUUCGAUGUCUUGUUGGUUUACAUUGAUUAUAAUGAUGAAUAGAAACAGGUGGGGCAAUUUGUAUCACUGCGUCAGAGGUGAAAUUCUUGGAUCGCACUGAGACAAUCUACAGCGAAGGCAUUUUGCAAGGAUGUUUUCAUUAAUCAAGAACGUUAGUUAGGGGAUCGAAGAUGAUUAGAUACCGUUGUAGUCCUAACCGUAAACGAUGCCGACUGCCAAUUGUUGAGGAUUAUUUUUAGUCUUCAGCAGCGGGCGAGAGAAAUCGAAGUCUUUGGGUUCUGGGGGGAGUAUGAGCGCAAGCUUGAAACUUAAAGGAAUUGACGGAAGGGCACACCAGAGGUGGAGCUUGCGGCUUAAUUUGACCCAACACGGGAAAACUUACCAGGGUCGGACUUUUGCAGGAUUGACAGAUUAAUAGCUCUUUCAUGAUUAAAAGGGUGGUGGUGCAUGGCCGUUCGUAGUUGGUGGAGUGAUUUGUCUGGUUAAUUCCGUUAACGAACGAGACCACGUUUGUAUAAUAGGACCGCUAUCUUACGAUAAGCGAAACCUUCUUUACAAGACUUUCCGCUUCCAGCGGGAGGAAGUUCGUGGCAAUAACAGGUCUGUGAUGCCCUUAGAUAGCCUGGGCCGCACGCGUGCUACAAUGGAGGCGUCAAUAGGUAUACUGUGCUCGACCGGAAGGUCUUGCUAAUCCCAAAUUGCCUUCGUGAUGGGGAUUGAUCUUUGAAAUUAUGGAUCAUAAACGAGGAAUCUCUAGUAAGGGUGUGUCAUCAGCGCAUCCUGAUUACGUCCCUGCCCUUUGUACACACCGCCCGUCGCACCUACCGAUGAAAAAUUAAACGAGGUCUCGGGACCCGGUCUUCUCGAGGGUCAAACCUUGAGGUUACUAGGAAACCUGAUCAAGUUUAAUUCUUUAGAGGAAGGUGAAGUCGUAACAAGGUU
rnacentral:rRNA from 1 species